AGUCGGAAUUCUGGUGGGUUUUCUUUGUUUUCUCUCAUCCUUUAAUUGUUUUGGUUGGUGGAACUGGAAGGGGGAUCAAAAAAACAAAAAAGUUAAGAACCAGAACCAGAUGAAAUCAAUCAAGUUAUCAAGGGAUGGAUCAGUUGGAUACCAAAAAGAUUAUGACCAGUUUUAGUGUUCUGUGCGCAAAAUGGUGGGCACUUUUGUACCGUGCUGAGGGACAGGCUGCAAAAGCUCUGAUAACUCUGCAAAAGUCGAAAGAUUUUAUGCGAAUCUGAACGUAAGGACCCUGGUGCAGCAAUGGGGGGCCAAAAAAGAUCAAUCUGCCCAUCCAUCCCAAAGGGAAAAAAAAAAAAAA